rnacentral:rRNA from 1 species
AGUACGAUCGCAAGAUUAAAACUCAAAGGAAUUGACGGGGCCCCGCACAAGCAGCGGAGCAUGCGGCUCAAUUCGACGCAACGCGAAGAACCUUACCAAGGCUUGACAUAUAGGGAAAAGUGGCAGAGAUGUCAUGUCCGCAAGGGCUCUAUACAGGUGGUGCAUGGUUGUCGUCAGCUCGUGUCGUGAGAUGUUGGGUUAAGUCCCGCAACGAGCGCAACCCUCGUUCUGUGUUGCCAGCAUUUAGUUGGGGACUCACAGGAGACUGCCGGGGUUAACUCGGAGGAAGGUGGGGAUGACGUCAAAUCAUCAUGCCCCUUAUGUCUUGGGCUGCACGCAUGCUACAAUGGCCGGUACAGAGGGCUGCAAUACCGUAAGGUGGAGCGAAUCCCAAAAAGCCGGUCUCAGUUCGGAUUGAGGUCUGCAACUCGACCUCAUGAAGUUGGAGUUGCUAGUAAUCGUAGAUCAGCAACGCUACGGUGAAUACGUUCCCGGGGCUUGUACACACCGCCCGUCACGUCACGAAAGUCGGUAACACCCAAAGUCAGUGGCCCAACCGCAAGGGGGGAGCUGCCUAAGGUGGGAUCGGUGAUUGGGACG